GAAGAGAGGAAGAUGAGCGGCUCAACCAGCAGACCUGGGAACGCAGAGGAAACACAGAGACAACUGGAUCUAAUCUGAGUUUCCCUCUCCUCAAGGUUUCAGGCUCUUAGUUAAAGAUGACGGUUUCUCUGCUGACAUCUGGAACCUGAUGAAGAAACAUUUUAAAACAAAUAAAUAUGAGAGUUCAGAGUUACCUGAGCAGAUGAACUCAUGGCUCCGACCAAUGUUUAUAUCACCAGCAGAACCACAGUCCAGUUCAGCACAAACUACAGCUGCUGAGUUCAUGUCCCAGUUAGGAUUCCAAACAUCCACUGGUCUCCAGUCAUCUUGAUGUUUCAUCUCCAGUCUCCCGGCACAUCGGCUGGCCUCUCCCACCAACCUGAUGUCAUGACCUGCACAGAGACAGAGAGUUCAUUAAUGCAGGAAGUGAAGCAGUGAACAGCAGCAGGUCUGCAGAUCCUCCUCUACCUGAACAGGUGAGUCCAACAGCUUGACCAGGWGAGCAGCUGUUUCUAMCUGAACUCUUCCUGCUGCUGCAGGUCAGCAGAGCAGACUCACUGCCUUCACACAGAAACUCUGCUCCCCACUGGAGCCUCUGC